CCUACGGGUGGCAGCAGUAGGGAAUAUUGCUCAAUGGCGGAAACCCUGAAGCAGCAACGCCGCGUGGAGGAUGAAGGUUCUCGGGUUUGUAACCCCUUUUGGUCGAGGAGAUAAUGACGGUAUCUAUCGAAUAAGCACCGUCAAACUCCGGGACAGCAGCCGCGGUAAUACGGGGGGUGCCAGCGUUACUCGGAAUCAAUGGGCGUAAAGGGCGCGUAGGCGGGAUAGCAAGUCAGGUGUGAAAUCCUAGGGCUUAAACAUAGAACUGCAUUUGAAACUGUUAUCCUAGAGUACGGGAGAGGUAGGUGGAAUGCGUGGUGUAGGGGUAAAAUCCGUAGAUAUCAAGAAGAACACUCAUUGCGAAGGCGGCCUACUAGAGCGUAACUGACGCUGAUGCGCGAAAGCGUGGGUAUCGAACAGGAUUAGAUACCCCAGUAGUC
rnacentral:rRNA from 1 species